rnacentral:rRNA from 1 species
CCAGACUCCUACGGGAGGCAGCAGUGAGGACUCUUGGUCAAUGGCCUCGCGGCUGAACCCGCCCCGCCGCGUGCGGGCGGAAGGUACAGAGUCUCGUAAACCUCUUUUGUCAGGGAACAAAGACUGGGCCGCGUCCCCGGAUGAGUGUACCUGAAGAAAAAGCAUCGGCUAACUCCGUGCCAGCAGCCGCGGUAAUACGGAGGAUGCGAGCGUUAUCCGGAUUUAUGGGGUUUAAAGGGGGCGCAGGCGGAGUGUCAAGUCAGCGGUCAAAUUGCGGGGCGCAACCCCAUACUGCCGUUGAAACUGCAUCCCUUGAGGGCGCGAGAAGUAGGCGGAAUGCGCGGGGGAGCGGUGAAAGGCAGAGAUAUCGCGCAGAACUCCGAUUGCGAAGGCAGCAUGCCGGCGCCACACUGACGCUGAGGCACGAAAGCGUGGGUAUCGAACAGGAUUAGAUACCCGAGUA